GCCAACAUGAUUCAAUGGUUUGAAUAUUGGACUACAACUCUGGGGGACCAGGGUUCAAACCCCUGCUCAGCCA